rnacentral:rRNA from 1 species
CAAGGAAUUUUCCCCAAUGGGCGCAAGCCUGAGGGAGCAACGCCGCGUGCAGGACGACGGCUUUCGGGUUGUAAACUGCUUUUGCGUGGGACGAUAACGACGGUACCCGUGGAGGAAGCACCGGCUAACUCUGUGCCAGCAGCCGCGGUAAUACAGAGGGUGCAAACGUUGCUCGGAAUGACUGGGCGUAAAGCGCGCGCAGGUGGCCUGCUAAGUCGGCUGUGAAAUCCCCUGGCUCAACCAGGGACGUGCAGUCGAUACUGGCAGGCUCGAGUCCCGGAGAGGGUGGUAGAAUUCCCAGUGUAGAGGUGAAAUUCGUAGAUAUUGGGAGGAAUACCGGUGGCGAAGGCGACCGCCUGGACGGGUACUGACACUGAGGCGCGAAAGCGUGGGGAGCAAACAGGAUUAGAUACCCCGGUAGUCC